rnacentral:ncRNA from 1 species
UGUCUUCAGGGCGGGGUGCGAUUCCCCACUGGCGGUACAGUCCGCGACCGGCGCUCUUCGGCGCCGCUGACCCGGUGUGACUCCGGGACCAACAGUAUAGUCUGGAUGGAAGAAGAU